GAAGACCCAGAAACCACCCGGCCUGCACAGGGCUUGUCCUCUAGUCCUUAGGCGUUUGCUUUCUCAAUCUCUGUACCCAUAUUUCCAGCUGUCCUUGGGUUUGAGGCCCUGGAGGUUUUCCUGUGGCAGCCCGAGGUCCAUGUCACUUUAAGGAGGGGCUCGAGGGAGGCUUUUCAAGGCCAGAGAAGGACGAGGGUAAAAGGACAACCUAGCCCUCCAGCACAGGCCUGCUCUGGGGCAGACAGCUUUAGGAAAGAGCGUACGUCUGAAGACUGACUCCUUGACUAUCUGUGUCUACCUUCCCCUUGGAAAGUCUCUGCAUACCCCAGUGUGAAGACUGAGCCACAGGGUGCACUGAGCUCUUCCUCCCUCAAACCUAGGCAGGUGUCUAGGUGCUUAGGGAAAGGCAAAGACAUCUGAAAAGAAACAAAACAUGUCCACAGCCCUUACCCCAUCCCAAGAAAAACUGCAAGUAAAGACGAGGCUACAAAAAGGUGCCACUGGACAGAGGGCCAGACCGCCUUCCACUGCAUAAACAUUUCCCCCCGGCUGCAUCUUCCUAACUGGGAUUUAGCCAUGUGGAGAAGCUAAACUAUCAAUCCUCCAGGUUAACCUUGUUCCAUCAGAUUCUCCAGGUAUCCUUCAAAGAACUUCCUUCCUGCCUCUGCAAAUCAGAAAUUCAGCAAAAGGAGCAUCUGUCCUAAACACCUGCCAGGGGAGGACAAAGCAUUGAAGAACAAUUGCUCGUCUUUGCAGCAUUUCACAUUCCAUACAAGAGACAAAAGGCCCAACCCCCACUACCCUCUGAGAAGCAGAAAGGGGAACGGAACAGGACUGUGUCUCCUGGGUGUCGGCAGCCACGAGUGCUGCUGCAGGUCAGCUACUGAGACUCCAAACACCCUGGGGCCCAUGGCUGCUCACCUGUCUCUCAUCAAGUAAUUUCCCUUCUGGGCUGAUGUUUCCUCAUCUAUAUUGUAGAAGAAAGGCCUUCAGUCUUAUUUACCACGUAAGUGGAGGUGCCCAGGGGGUCAAAGAAUUAAUGUUUAUAAAGUGUUCUGCUCCCCAGG
rnacentral:lncRNA from 1 species